GACGAACGCUGGCGGCGUGCCUAAUACAUGCAAGUCGAGCGAUGAAGGAGAUACUUGUAUCUUUUGAAGAGCGGCGAACGGGUGAGUAACGCGUGGGGAAUCUGCCAAUGAGUGGGGGACAACAUUUGGAAACGAAUGCUAAUACCGCAUAAAAUCUAUUGAGACAUCUCAAGAGAUUGAAAGGAACAAUUGUUUCGCUCGUUGAUGAUCCCGCGUUGUAUUAGCUAGUUGGUGAGGUAACGGCUCACCAAGGCGAUGAUACAUAGCCGACCUGAGAGGGUGAUCGGCCACAUUGGGACUGAGACACGGCCCAAACUCCUACGGGAGGCAGCAGUAGGGAAUCUUCGGCAAUGGACGAAAGUCUGACCGAGCAACGCCGCGUGAGUGAAGAAGGUUUUCGGAUCGUAAAGCUCUGUUGUUGUUAAAGAACGUUGAUGAGAGUGGAAAGUUCAUCAAGUGACGGUAAACAACCAGAAAGGGACGGCUAACUACGUGCCAGCAGCCGCGGUAAUACGUAGGUCCCGAGCGUUGUCCGGAUUUAUUGGGCGUAAAGCGAGCGCAGGUGGUUUCUUAAGUCUGGUGUCAAAGGCUACUGCUCAACAGUAGUGU
rnacentral:rRNA from 1 species